rnacentral:sRNA from 1 species
ACAGGAUCUGCGCCGGCGGAACCCCGCACAA